AAACCGGGAUGUUGCGGGCCGUAGCGCGUGGGCGGCCGUGGGGUCUUGGGCGCGCGCGGUGUUUCUGGCGGUGGGUCAGGACUUGCGGGUCGCCUCCGCCGGUGUUGAAGCCUCUUGUGUGCACACUUUCUCCUCAGCACUUGGGACGACCUAAUUUCACUGUUAGGAACGGUUGAUCCCGAACACAGGAGGGAGGGUAAAUAUCGUAAAACAUGUUGGACGCUAGCUGUGUGCACGCCCCCUGGGAGCCAAAAGGGCGAAGUAAAACAUGCACACGACCGUAAUGAGAUUCUGAUUCAGUGAUGGGGAGCCGUGUUUGGCAGUGCAGAGGUAGCGAAGUGUCCCAAGAACAUGGAAGACUGAAUCUCGCUCUGUUGCCCAGCCCAUCUCGGCCCACUGAAACCUCCACCUCCCGGGUUCAAGCGAUUCUCCUGCCUCAGCCUCCCGAGUAGCUGAGAUUACAGGCGCCUGCCACCACGCCCAGCAUGCUGAUCCCAUUUUCAAUGAAGAAUUGCUUCCAGUUACUUUGUAACUGCCAGGUCCCAGCAGCUGGCUUUAAAAAAACAGUAAAAAAUGGGCUCAUUUUACAGUCAAUUUCCAAUGAUGUCUAUCAAAAUCUGGCUGUGGAAGACUGGAUCCAUGACCAUAUGAAUCUAGAAGGCAAACCAAUUCUAUUCUUUUGGCAGAAUUCUCCCUCUGUUGUAAUUGGUAGGCAUCAAAAUCCUUGGCAGGAAUGUAACCUGAAUCUAAUGAGAGAAGAAGGUAUAAAACUGGCUCGGAGAAGAAGUGGAGGAGGAACAGUCUACCAUGAUAUGGGUAAUAUCAAUUUGACUUUCUUUACAACCAAAAAAAAGUAUGAUAGAAUGGAAAAUCUGAAAUUAAUUGUGAGAGCUCUGAAUGCUGUCCAACCCCAGCUGGAUGUGCAGGCUACCAAAAGAUUUGACCUUUUACUUGAUGGACAGUUUAAAAUCUCAGGAACAGCUUCUAAGAUCGGCCGGACUACUGCCUAUCACCAUUGCACUUUAUUAUGUAGUACUGAUGGGACGUUCUUGUCUUCUUUGCUAAAGAGCCCUUACCAAGGGAUCAGGAGCAAUGCCACUGCUAGCAUACCUUCCUUAGUGAAAAAUCUUUUGGAAAAGGAUCCCACUCUGACCUGUGAAGUACUAAUGAAUGCUGUUGCUACAGAGUAUGCUGCUUAUCAUCAAAUUGAUAAUCACAUUCACCUAAUAAACCCAACGGAUGAGACACUGUUUCCUGGAAUAAAUAGCAAAGCCAAAGAACUGCAAACUUGGGAGUGGAUAUAUGGCAAAACUCCAAAGUUUAGUAUAAAUACUUCCUUUCAUGUGUUAUAUGAACAGUCACACUUGGAAAUUAAAGUAUUCAUAGACAUAAAGAAUGGAAGAAUUGAAAUUUGUAAUAUUGAAGCACCUGAUCAUUGGUUGCCAUUGGAAAUACGUGACAAAUUAAAUUCAAGUCUUAUUGGCAGUAAGUUUUGCCCAACUGAAACUACCAUGCUAACAAAUAUAUUACUUAGAACAUGUCCACAAGACCACAAACUAAACAGUAAAUGGAAUAUUCUCUGUGAAAAAAUUAAGGGAAUAAUGUGAUUCCAAGUAAAUGUCUUAAUACAGUUUCAAUUAGAAAAUAAAAUGUCUCAUACUUGCA